CGUCGCGCGCAAAAUUUCAUUCUCCCUCGCAUCUAUCCCUAUCCUUCUACUCUAUUGACUUCUUCAUUUUGAAGUCAGUAAAUGAGAUUUUUCUUCUUCAUCUUCUAUGACUUUCAAGGGCGGCUAAACCAGAUCGCGAAUCGGUCUACUUCUUCGUAGUUUGAGUUACAUCGGCAAACUAGUAAGGUCAUUUUUCUUUACUCUUUCUGGGCGUGCAGAUCUCUAGAUCGAACAUAAGCGUGAACGGACGAAACCCAGCGCUGUUCUGUUUUUCAAAAUUAAUCUGAGAAUACGUAGAAGGAGGACUCCUUUUCAGUCGGCUUCCUAGACAUUCUCGGUUCAGAUAUGAACAUAGGCUUUCUCGGCUCAUUUUCUUAUGGCUUCUUCCUCUUUUUACAGUUUCAAGUCCGACGUAGAAGGUUCUAUAUUAAAGGAAUAUAAAAAAUCAGUGAGGUCCUUUAUGUCUUCGCUUCUUUUUGGAAGUGAAAGGAAGACAUAGAAGGUAUAGGAGGCAUAAAAAUUCAAUUCCUCUUACUAGUACGUAGAAGGACCUAGUUACUACUUACUACGGUUACUUUGUUAUUUGUUCUUGGGAUAUUCUAGAAUAUAUUUCAUACAUUCUCAUAUUUGAUCAUCUUUAAUUGCUUCUGAGCGCUGUUUUGUUAUGCGGGAUCCUAACAGUUUUUCAGCUUCGAGAAGAAAUGGUAGAAUGAGACUUAGUGGAUGUCAUAGAGGCGCUUUACUUGGGGUGUGGGUUGAAUAUCCUUUCGUAAGCAAAAAACAGUAGACUUUUCUACCAUUUUUGCUCGUGCACCCAGAAUUCUUGCUGAGUAGGACUAUCAUAUCACUAUCGACAUAACAGCAUUGCAAAAUCCUCUAAUGCAUAACAUUUUGUUCUCCAAUUAAUUUUGCUUGCUGUUGGUGAUUGCCGAGCUGUGUUGCUGACUGUUAUGGUGAGUAUGCAGUGACUGUGUUAUGGAGUUCUAGUCUCCUUUACAUUUUUAAUAGGAGCUACCUAGGAUUGUCCCUAGGAUUGUCCCGUCGGUACUUGAUCGGAAACAAACUAACAGCCUCUUCUUCAAAUUUUCCCAGCUUAGAAACUUAUCUCUUUCUUCUUCUGAAUGGUACCAAUUCAGCGCUGGACCGCAGCAACAUUUUCUAUUUGGUUAAAUCAUGCUUGAAUUAAGCUAACUUUUAUGGAUUGCACAUAACCUGGUUAGUUGAUCUAUACUUUCCGUAUAACCCCUUGAUAUAAUUUGUUUCUUUAUAAGUGGUUGACUUUUAGAGCUACCUGUUGGAGAAUUGAUCUAUACUUUUGAGCCUUCAUAUUAAUAUGGAUGAUGGGCGUACAUAGUGGGCACCGAGUGGGCACAAGACAGCGCCAAUACCAGACUCUUGAGAUUUUUUUUUUUAAUUUAUCUCUUGAGAUAUUUUCUUUUACCUUUAGAUAACUAAGCAAAGCUCAGUCUUGGAGCUUUCCACUGUAUCAGUUAAAGUUGCAUAAAAACGUUAAGAAUCAAUUCUCAUGUUUCAAGUUCCAUGUUUAAAGUCGGGAAUUCAAUUGACGUUUACUUCAUGGUUGUGUUAGACUCUUGGGUGUGGAGCUUCUACUGAGAGCUUUUUCGAUGUAAUAUCUAGUGUUUUUUAUUGUUUAAUUAGAUGAUAUGCUAGCAAAUGCCCCUCAGACUUUGAUAGUUUUGGAGUUUUAUUCUUUUUUUUUUUAAUUUUUAAUUUUUAUUUUCUAUUUUUUACUUUUUAUGCUUUGGGUGAUUUGGUGUUUUAUCUUCUGCUAUUUUUCUUACGUUAAAAAUUUUGUUAUGUAAUAAUACUAGCUAUUUAUUUGAUUAUUAUUUAAAUGAGGAUCUUUGCACAACCUAUCAAAAAAUUGUGUUCAACUCGGUUAUUAUUGCUCAUGUAGGAUGAACUAUUUGAUUAUUUUAAAGUUGCUGCUCAAAGAUCUUGCAAUUCGGAAACUGCAGUGCCCAUAAUUCAUUAAUAUGCAGAGUUUAACAAAUUUCUUCAUUUUUUGAAUAUAGUUCUCCUCAAAGGCUAUGACUACCAUCCACUUCCCAUAUUUCUAAUCUAAUUUUUGUACUCCAUUAACUUGUCCUUUGAUUACGUUGAAAUGUGGUGAGUUCUUACUGCUUUUUAUUAUACAUGAAAAUGGCAGAGGAACACAGCUUCUUGAAGAGAAAUCAGCCUCCUUGAUUUGGACAUCCAGACAAUUCAACUCCACUCUUGAUCCAAAGCAGAGAUUAAUAGCACUGCAUAUCAAAGCUCUUUGGGUUGCCGAGUCAGAACUUGGAUGAAAUUUGAAAAGUGCCAAUGGCGAUGAGGACAUGUCCUUCCAUUUCAUUGAUGACAACACUACUCUGCACAUUUGGCCCUAAAUGCUGAUUAUACCAACAAAAAACACUCCCUAGAACGUGCAAUCCCUUGAGCGCUUCAAGAACCACAACUUCUUAAUGGUAACUGCUGCUACUGACGAUCCUGCCAUUCUUUGUAUGGAAAAUGAGGUAUGUUGAGCUUCUCAUUUAUGUAGUGGAACACAAAUCUCUAUCCUUUGAAGCUUCUCAUUGCUUAUGGUCACAUGUUCGGAUUUGUGGAGAGAUUCUGUGUUUGAAUCUUUUGGUAUGACUCAUUCUACACGAGCAUUAAAAUAAAAUGUAUAGUUUAUGGAUAAGUUGUACAAUCUGAACUAUUAGAUUGGAACUGGCUAGCUAGGAGCUAGUUAUAGGUGUUGUCAAAUAGAAAAAGAAAAGCAAGAUAGUUUGUGUUUGAGAUAAUCCAGCUACAUCUUUUCGUGAGUUUUUCUAUAAAUAUUUAUUCUAAGGUGUUAUCUUACAA